rnacentral:rRNA from 1 species
GGCCCGCACAAGCGGUGGAGCAUGUGGUUUAAUUCGACGCAACGCGAAGAACCUUACCUGGGCUCGAAAUGUACAGGAAUACGGUAGAAAUAUCGUCGUCCCGCAAGGGAUCUGUAUAUAGGUGCUGCAUGGCUGUCGUCAGCUCGUGCCGUGAGGUGUUUGGUUAAAUCCAUUAACGGGCGCAACUCUUGUAUUAUUUUGGUAAUUAUUAAUUUCAUUUUUGUUAAUAGAAUUAAUAAUACAACUUCUAAUAUACUGCUAACUUCAAGUUAGAGGAAGGUGAGAAUUACGUCAAGUCCUUAUGGCCCUUAUGGACUGGGCUACACACGUGCUACAAUGAAUUUAACAAAGAGGUAUACAAUAAAGUCAAUUUGGAGUAAAACUCAAAAAGUUUUCGUGUUCAGAUUAUAAGCUGCAAUUCGCUUAUAUGAAGGUGGAAUCACAAGUAAUCGUAAAUCAGCAUGUUACGGUGAAAAUGUACCUAGAUUUUGCACACACCGCCCGUCACAUGCCGGAAGUGCGUUUUGUUUGAAAUUGAUUCUUUUAUUUCAUGUAACUGAAAUUAAUUCUAAAUGAUUUUUCAGUUUUACGGUUUUUUGAAGAAUUACUUAUUAUAGAGCAUAUGACUGGGAUGAAGUCGUAACAAGGUAGUCGUACGGGAACGUGUGGCUGG